GAAAUACUCCCUCCGUUCGGAAUUACUUGUCGCAGAAAUGGAUGUAUCUAGACGUAUUUUAGCUCUAGAUACAUCCAUUUUCGCGACAAGUAAUUCCGAACGGAGGGAGUAAUAG
rnacentral:pre_miRNA from 1 species